UCGACUGUACUUACAGGAUCUCUGUCUAGUACAUCUCUAGUCUUUGUUUUCCAACUCAGACACACAGUUUACUCUCGACGAUGAGUUGCAGCGCGCUGCCCGUAAAGGGAAGCGAAGCAACAGGUCUUGUUCCUCUGGGACAGUUCCUGGUAGCUUAUUGAUGAUCUUGUCUGGCCUUAUGUUAAUAAGACCAUGAUGAGGGCGGUCGCGCAUUCUGAGAGUU
rfam:Lobosporangium transversale strain NRRL 3116 BCR41scaffold_2, whole genome shotgun sequence.